UUUUUGAUCUUGAUAAAAAACAGAGCUAACCCAUAUCAUGAUUUCUCAAUGCUUCUUAUUCCCCAUCUCAAUUUUUGAUCUUGAUAAAAAAAAACAGAGCUAACCCGGCGAAGGCACAGCGGCAGCAGAGGUGGAACCACCCAAAACCACCCUGCACCACCACCGCCGCAACCACCACAGUCGGAGAUCAACGCCAAUCGAUACGUAUUCGUCGCAGCCACACCCUACCCUUCCCAAUACCCUAACCCUAACCCUAAUUCAUCUGCCCCUCAUCCCCCUUAUUACCAAUACCCCACCGGAGCAUACUACCCGCCGCCGCCGCCGACAGAACCGUUACCUGCUCUGUACAAUCACCACCACCGUGUGCCGGUGGACCCUGCCGCUCAGGCGAUGGUGGGUGGGAGGUACCCUUGUGGGUCUGUGAUGCACUCGCCUACACCUUAUGUUGAUCACCAAAAGGCGUUACUAUUAGGAAUAAUGUUAAUCUCAAGAAAGAAACUUUGAAAGUUGAACCUGAUGAACAACACCCUGGGAAGUUUCUUGUUGUUUUUACUUAUGAUGCUACUGUUGCUGGCAGAUUGAAAAGUUGAACUUAGUUAUCAAGGAGCUCGUUAAGGAAAAUGAUGAAGAAAAAGAAAGGUUAAAUGGAAUU
rnacentral:lncRNA from 1 species